rnacentral:misc_RNA from 1 species
GAUGAAGAACGUAGCGAAAUGCGAUAAGUAAUGUGAAUUGCAGAAUUCAGUGAAUCAUCGAGUCUUUGAACGCACAUUGCGCCCCCUGGUAUUCCGGGGGGCAUGCCUGUCCGAGCGUCAUUGCCGCCCUCAAGCACGGCUUGUGUGUUGGGCCCCCGCCCCCCGGCUUCGGGGGGCGGGCCCGAAAGGCAGCGGCGGCACCGCGUCCGGUCCUCGAGCGUAUGGGGCUUCGUCACCCGCUCUGUAGGCCCGGCCGGCGCCAGCCGGCGACCCCAAUCAAUCUUUCCAGGUUGACCUCGGAUCAGGUAGGGAUACCCGCUGAACUUAAGCAUAUCAAUAAGCGGAGGA